UACGGAGGGUGCAAGCGUUGUCCGGAUUUAUUGGGUUUAAAGGGUGCGUAGGCGGCCCGUUAAGUCAGCGGUGAAAUCCCGGGGCUCAACCCCGGAACUGCCGUUGAUACUGGCGGGCUUGAGUUCGGUCGAGGCGGGCGGAACUGGUGGUGUAGCGGUGAAAUGCAUAGAUACCACCAAGAACCCCGAUUGCGAAGGCAGCUCGCUGGGCCGAAACUGACGCUGAGGCACGAAAGCGUGGGGAGCGAACAGG
rnacentral:rRNA from 2 species